CACGUAGGCGGAUUGGAAAGUAGGGGGUGAAAUCCCGGGGCUCAACCCCGGAACUGCCUUCUAAACUCCCAGUCUAGAGUUCGAGAGAGGUGAGUGGAAUUCCAAGUGUAGAGGUGAAAUUCGUAGAUAUUUGGAGGAACACCAGUGGCGAAGGCGGCUCACUGGCUCGAUACUGACGCUGAGGUGCGAAAGUGUGGGGAGCAAACA
rnacentral:rRNA from 1 species